GCGGACGUAGCUCAGUUGGUUAGAGCGCCAGGUUGUGGUCCUGGAUGUCGGGGGUUCGAGUCCCCUCGUUCGCCCCA
rnacentral:tRNA from 1 species